CCAAAAUGGCAGCGUAGCGAAAACUCCAAAGCCUUAGCCACAGGUGGACAUAGGGUGUUGGAUUAAAGUGUAGCAAAAAACCCAAAGUAACAUCAGAAAACAGCAGAGCUGAGCAGUGCCAGCUGGGCACCCACAAACGGCUGGGAAAGGCUCCCAUUGGAAGCAGGAGGGGAUUGUGGUCCUGGGUUUUCCCCCAAGGCACCCAAGUAAACAGUGAGGGUCCUUUUCAGUAAGGUUGGAUGUUGGCAAGGUACCAGUACAACAGCUGCUCUUCUGAGCAAAGCCUCACUCACAGCAGGAGAAGCAGUAAAGGAUGGAACUCCUCAGUGGCAGGGAAUUCUCCCCACAGCAGGAGCAGCAUCAUCUCACCUCCAGUACCAAGAACAAGAGAAAGCAAGGAGCUGAGGCCAGCCCCUCAUCCCUCAGCUAAAAUCUCUGCCCUUCCCAAGAGAAAGCCCCCCCAGAUCAGAGACGCUAACAAACUACCCCCUUCUCCGAUUCUUUUGUCAUCUUUUGUCUCUCUUAAGUAUCAUCAUUUCCAUUUCUUAGGGACAAAAUAGAAGAAAAUUCCCUGAGCAAAAAGAAAAACAAAAAGAAAAAUCUUAACCUCCAACACUUGGGUAAGAGGGAAAGGAUCUCAGUGCAAAGAAUUCUUUCAGAACAUCAUAAUUUCAAUCAUAAGCUGAAUCAUAAGUUGAACCUUCUGAAUUGUAAUAAUCAUGUAAGGUCUCAGAGUUCGGCAGUUUUUUUUUUCUUGGUGAUCAAGGUAAGAUGAUCAACCACUGGUUCUUUAUCAAAUGGAAGGAGUCAAGCAACAGCAGCAGCUGGCAGAGUAAAAUGUUUAUUUCAGCUUCUUUGCUAAACAAGGAAGACGUAUGCUAGAUAGAUAGGAAGGAAUUUGCAAGUUAAUUAACUAUGUAAAAUUACAGAUUUAUGAUAUGAAUUGACUGUGGGCUGUUCAAAGUUACUUUGAAAUUAAGCUUUAUUUACUUCUUUUUACAUGAUCAUUUACAGAUGUGUAAGAAAAAAAGAUAUGUCUGGUAGGUUUACACUGAAAGCAAUGGUCAUCUAGGAAAUGCAAUUACAUCUCCUGAAAGCAGAAAGAUAGUCCUACAAACACCUUAGCCCCAGUCCGUCAAUGCAUUCUGUAUUUUCAAUACAAACGCAAAGUGUGUGAUGUUUGCCAAAGGUAAUACCCUCUGUGUUUCAUGAUGCUGUUUUGAAAAUAUGCCACUUAUGAAGAAAUAGGAACUGGAGUUCAGGCCUGACACGGUUCCUCCUCAAGAAUUAAACUUUAACACUUCUCAAAACACUGAGUGAUUUUCUGCACUGUUGCCAUUUCAUAUAUUGAUGCACAUAUAAGCUUCUUACUCGAAGGGACAAGACACUCUGGGAGAAGGUCCAAAUUCACACACAUUGCACAUUAGCAGCUACAAGGCAAGCUGGAAAAAUGUUGAGAUGGAACUUUAAAAGGCAAAAUAAGUUCUUACUGUGUCUGUGGUUUCAUGUUCUUGAAAGAAUAGUGAACAAACCACACCAAAACUUCAUUGAUACCACCUACUCAAGCCGACUCAGCUACUCCAAGGACUGCUCUCCCCCAUUAUACAGUUCCCUGUUGCCCUAUCCAGCAAAGAACAAUAUUACAGGGUUUAUUUUCCCCCAGAACUUUAUCAAGAAAAUUAUUAUCCUCAUUUCUUUGGAGAGAUUUUUAUUUGUGUCAAACAAAUUUGUUUUCAAAGAUUCUUAAAAAAUAAAAGAAAAAAUCAAACUAUGUUAACAGAUGCAGCCAUUGUGCAAUUUUUGUAGACACGUGUUGUCUUUAAUCAGUGGUUUUACGUUCAUCGGAAAUAAAAAUCUGUUUAGUAUGCUGGGGGAAUUAAAGUUCUGAAGAGAUUGUUUUAGUGCUCUUUAUUUAUGAUGAUUUGUUAGCUGUUGACUGCAGAAAUAAUUUUGUUGUUUACAUUAAUCUAUGGUAGCAGUAUUAACUUCACAUCAUACAUAAAUAUAAUUAUUGAUCAUUACCAGCUGUAAUUCACUGUUAGAAUUACAGAUUUACAUAAUUGUGCUAUUACGUGUAAACUUGAACUUCAUAUCUGGGGUCACAAAUAACUGGAGGCAGUAGAAGCAGAAAAUUCUGAUUAUAUGUCAUUCAUAUUUUAAUAUAUGCUGUUGCAAUUUUGAUCAGUGUUAAUGUAAAUAUUUUUAUGUACUAUACAGCAAUGAGAUGCUAAUGGCUAGAAAUUACAGCAAUAUUGAUCUAGCUAAUAAAAUGGAAUGCAUUAGUAAGAAAGGAUAUUUAUUAUCUCCUCCAAAAACUACUAUACAUCAUCUGCCCAAGGAAAAUUUUCUCCAUCAAAGAUUGAGAUGGCAUUCUGGAAAUGGUGUAAAGCUCUUCUCAAAAAUCAAUCAUGGGCUAUCUUGUAUUUUCUGCCUGCAGCUUUUUCACUGAUAAAACUUCACAGAGAGAAACAAGCUAUAUAAAGGGAUUCACUUCUGUAAUACAUUAUCUUCUCCUCAUGUAAUCUGCACAUAAAAAGAUGCUCCAGAAAGAACAAUCAGUACAGUUGGCCAUCUCCAAAAGGCAUUAGGGGAAUGUGUGUUCACAUCCCUGUCUUACUGAUGGCCUCAAGCAAAACCUGUGAACUCGGUGUUGCUCUUGGGCACAGUGAAGUGAGAGGUCUUGCAAGACACAGGCCUGCACCAGCUCUUCAUCUGGAUUUGUCAGGUGUAGCCAACAUAAAACCACACACUGAAAACAGCUGGACUGCUACAUAUUACAAAAAUGAUCUAGAUAAGGAGAGAAGAUGGCUUAAAAUAAAGAUUUGUGUAAGAUUUGACAUCAAACUCAGCUUCCAAAAAUUCAUCCUUUGUCAAGCACACCACACACAAGAAUUUUAGUAUUCCAAGCAACUGGAACAAGCUCUGUUCAUCCACAGGGAGUCAUUAACUUCUCAUUUCCUGUACUUAUGCAACACAAUAACUCAAAGUGAAAGGUCACACAAAACUUAAGC